rnacentral:rRNA from 1 species
GAUGAACGCUGGCGGCGUGCCUAAUACAUGCAAGUCGAGCGAACAGACGAGGAGCUUGCUCCUCUGACGUUAGCGGCGGACGGGUGAGUAACACGUGGAUAACCUACCUAUAAGACUGGGAUAACUUCGGGAAACCGGGGCUAAUACCGGAUAAUAUAUUGAACCGCAUGGUUCAAUAGUGAAAGACGGUUUUGCUGUCACUUAUAGAUGGAUCCGCGCCGCAUUAGCUAGUUGGUAAGGUAACGGCUUACCAAGGCGACGAUGCGUAGCCGACCGGAGAGGGUGAUCGGCCACACUGGAACUGAGACACGGUCCAGACUCCUACGGGAGGCAGCAGUAGGGAAUCUUCCGCAAAGGGCGAAAGCCUGACGGAGCAACGCCGCGUGAGUGAUGAAGGUCUUCGGAUCGUAAAACUCUGUUAUUAGGGAAGAACAAAUGUGUAAGUAACUAUGCACGUCUUGACGGUACCUAAUCAGAAAGCCACGGCUAACUACGUG